rnacentral:snoRNA from 1 species
GAUGGCGAUGACGACUCCAUAAAUUCAAGCUCAACAGACCGGAAUGCAGGGCUUUCUCGUUCUCGAGAUCGCUUUGCGUGUCGACAACCCCGCUGAACCGAGCCUC